UGAAACAAGGGGAAGGUUCAUGGGAGGCUGCAGUAGAGAAUAUUAUGCAAUAUACAAAAGUAUGACAUAAAGCACAAACAUAAGGCCUGUCAAAUUAAGUGCCAGCAGUCGCGGUUAAACUUAAAAUGUGGCAAAGUUUUGAUUGUAAAGGCGUAGAGCGUGUGUAUGCAAGAAUAUUAAUAUAUCAUAAAAAAAAUAUAUUUACCCUGCUAGAGAUAUUUAUAAGAAGUUAAUUAAUAUAUCAUAAAAGAGAAAAAUAAAAUAUAUUUGUAGCGGUUGAAUGCGAAAAUAAAUAUUAGAAUUAAAAAAUAACUAAAUUUUUCAUAAGGUAACUAGCUGAAACACUAAAGUGUGGAUAGUAAAUGGGGUUGGUGUCCCAGUAGCCCAUACUGUAAACAAUGAAAUUAGGUAUAAGUACCUGUUUAAUCAAAAUUUCGCCCGAGUAGUACGAUCGCAAGAUUAAAAUUCAAAAAAUUUGGCUGUUCCCUAUUUGAUUAGAGGAGCGUGUGGUUUAAUUCGAUGGUCCGCGAAACACCUUACCUCAUUUUGAAUCCAGGCAAGAGGACAAGUAUUGCAUGGCCGUCGUCAGUUUGUGUGUCAAACUAUUUAAUAACAGACCCAACCCAUAUCUUGUGGACGAAGUCAGGUAUUAUGGUCUUUAUAGUGAGGGAUACCAUUCGCUACAUUGUCUGUGACAACGAAUAAGUAAUUAGAGUUCGGAAGUAGCUGGGAGAAGAUUACGGAAGCCGGAUUUAAUAGUAAUCAGAAAGUAGAGCGUUCUGGUGAACUUUUUAGUGUUAGUACAAAUUGCCCGUCACCUUCGCCUAAUAAGUGUUUGAAAGUGUAAUUUCACAACAAACAUUACAAGGGAGUAAGUCGUAACAU
rnacentral:rRNA from 1 species